CCUGCUCUCGGGGGCACUUCCAUUGUAGUAGAGGUGUGCAUGAGCCAUAGCAUGUGGCAGAGAGGAGAGAGGUUAUGUCUACACUCAGCGUUCUGAACUGUGAACAACAAAAUGAUUAGUAGCCUAAUAUU